rnacentral:rRNA from 1 species
GCAUAUCAAUAAGCGGAGGAAAAGAAACCACAGGGAUUGCCCCAGUAACGGCGAGUGAAGCGGCAACAGCUCAGAUUUGGAAUCUGGCCCCCAGGGCCCGAGUUGUAAUCUGGAGAGGAUGCUUCUGGCGCGGCGCCUUCCGAGUUCCCUGGAACGGGACGCCGGAGAGGGUGAGAGCCCCGUACGGUUGGACGCCUAGCCUUUGUGAAGCUCCUUCGACGAGUCGAGUAGUUUGGGAAUGCUGCUCAAAAUGGGAGGUAAAUUUCUUCUAAAGCUAAAUACCGGCCAGAGACCGAUAGCGCACAAGUAGAGUGAUCGAAAGAUGAAAAGCACUUUGAAAAGAGGGUCAAACAGUACGUGAAAUUGUUGAAAGGGAAGCGCCCGUGGCCAGACUUGUGCCCCGCGGACCACCCGGCGCCCUCAGCGCCGGUGCACUCCGCGGGGCGCAGGCCAGCAUCGGUUUUCCUAGGGGGAUAAAGGCGGCGGGAACGUGGCUCCUUCGGGAGUGUUAUAGCCCGUCGUGCCAUGCCCCUGGGGGGACCGAGGACCGCGCUUCGGCAAGGAUGCUGGCGUAAUGGCCACCGGCGACCCGUCUUGAAACACGGACCAAGGAGUCAAGCAUUGGGGCGAGUGUCUGGGUGCCAAACCCGCACGCGAAAUGAAAGUGAACGCAGGUGAGAGCUUCGGCGCAUCAUCGACCGAUCCUGAUGUUCUCGGAUGGAUUUGAGUAAGAGCCUUACCGCUUGGACCCGAAAGAUGGUGAACUAUGCCUGUAUAGGGUGAAGCCAGAGGAAACUCUGGUGGAGGCUCGCAGCGGUUCUGACGUGCAAAUCGAUCGUCAAAUAUGGGCAUGGGGGCGAAAGACUAAUCGAACCAUCUAGUAGCUGGUUACCGCCGA